UACGUAGGGGGGCAAGCGUUGUCCGGAUUUAUUGGGCGUAAAGAGCUCGUAGGCGGCUUGUCGCGUCGACUGUGAAAACCCGCGGCUCAACUGCGGGCUUGCAGUCGAUACGGGCAGGCUAGAGUUCGGUAGGGGAGACUGGAAUUCCUGGUGUAGCGGUGAAAUGCGCAGAUAUCAGGAGGAACACCGAUGGCGAAGGCAGCCAUCUGGACCGACACUGACGCUGAGGCGCGAAAGCGUGGGGAGCAAACAGG
rnacentral:rRNA from 1 species